GGCUUGUUGAGAAACUGACAGGGAUGGAAGAUCUGGCUGCUUGUGGUAAAAUUCCGGAAGCUGGCCCGGGAUCCAGAGACAACAUGAGGCCCCGGUAAGGGUCAUGGUGGGAGACAGGCCUAGCCAUCAGGAUUCUGGCACAACGGCACAAUGAUCAUCUAUCAAGGGGAGGCAGGAACGUGACUGAGCAGGAACAGCAUGCCUAGAGGGGCAGGUGCGUGGAAGGAACUGAGCAGAAUGUGAGCAAGGAGGCAUUAGUUGGAAAGAUGUGAGCAGAAACUUGAAAUGUGCUUGC